GUGGGGAAUAUUGCACAAUGGGGGGAACCCUGAUGCAGCGACGCCGCGUGAGUGAAGAAGUAUUUCGGUAUGUAAAGCUCUAUCAGCAGGGAAGAAAAUGACGGUACCUGACUAAGAAGCCCCGGCUAACUACGUGCCAGCAGCCGCGGUAAUACGUAGGGGGCAAGCGUUAUCCGGAUUUACUGGGUGUAAAGGGAGCGUAGACGGCGACGCAAGUCUGAAGUGAAAUGCCAGUGCUCAACACUGGAACUGCUUUGGAAACUGUGUAGCUAGAGUGCAGGAGAGGUAAGUGGAAUUCCUAGUGUAGCGGUGAAAUGCGUAGAUAUUAGGAGGAACACCAGUGGCGAAGGCGGCUUACUGGACUGUAACUGACGUUGAGGCUCGAAGGCGUGGGGAGCAAACAGGAUUAGAAACCCUAGUAGUCC
rnacentral:rRNA from 1 species